rnacentral:rRNA from 1 species
AUAUUACUAAGCGGAGGAAAAGAAACUAACUAGGAUUCCCCCAGUAACGGCGAGUGAAGAGGGAAGAGCCCAAAUUGAAAAUCUGCGCACGGCGACGGGUGCAGAAUUGUAGUCUAGAGAAGCGCUUUCGGGGCCGGCGGCUGGUAGAAAUCCUUUGGAACAGGGUAUCGUAGAGGGUGAGAGUCCCGUCCGCGACCAGCCAAGGGCACCAACUGAGGCGUCUUCGACGAGUCGCGUUGCUUGGGAGUGCAGCGCAAAACGGGUGGUAAACGCCAUCUAAGGCUAAAUACAGGCAAGAGACCGAUAGCGAACAAGUACCGUGAGG